UACGAAGGGGGCUAGCGUUGUUCGGAAUUACUGGGCGUAAAGCGUGCGCAGGCGGUGAUGUAAGACAGUUGUGAAAUCCCCGGGCUCAACCUGGGAACUGCAUCUGUGACUGCAUCGCUGGAGUGCGGCAGAGGGGGGAUGGAAUUCCGCGUGUAGCAGUGAAAUGCGUAGAUAUGCGGAGGAACACCGAUGGCGAAGGCAAUCCCCUGGGCCUGCACUGACGCUCAUGCACGAAAGCUGGGGAGCAAACAGG
rnacentral:rRNA from 1 species